UACAGAGACUGCAAGCGUUAUCCGGAAUCACUGGGCGUAAAGCGUGCGUAGGCGGGUGCCUAAGUGCAAUGCGAAAUCCUGUGGCUCAACCAUAUGGACUGUAUUGCAUACUGGGCGCCUGGAGGAUGGCAGAGGCUAGUGGAAUUACCGGUGUAGCAGUGAAAUGCGUAGAUAUCGGUAGGAACACCAAUGGCGAAGGCAGCUAGCUGGGCCAUAUCUGACGCUGAGGCACGAAAGCGUGGGGAGCGAACAGG
rnacentral:rRNA from 1 species